CCCCUAGAUGUUCUGGGCCGCACGCGUGCUACACUGAGUAAAUCAAUGGGUAAGGGAACACGAAAGUGCAACCUAAUCUUCAAAUUUGCUCGUGAUGGGGAUCGACGGUUGCAAUUUUCCGUCGUGAACGAGGAAUACCUUGUAGGCGCGUGUCAUCAUCACGCGCCGAAUACGUCCCUGCCCUUUGUACACACCGCCCGUCGCUCCUACCGAUUGAGUGAUCCGGUGAGGCUCUGGGACCUGGACGGAAAGAGCGUUUCGCUUGUUCUGUUUGGGAAACUUGGUCGAACCUUAUCAUUUAGAGGAAGGAGAAGUCGUAACA
rnacentral:rRNA from 1 species